rnacentral:rRNA from 1 species
GACGAACCGUGCAAACGUUGUUCGGAAUCACUGGGCUUAAAGGGCGCGUAGGCGGCUCGCCAAGUCGGGGGGGAAAUCUUUCGGCUCAACCGGAAAAGUGCCUUCGAUACUGGCGGGCUGGAGGGAGGUAGGGGCAUGUGGAACUUCCGGUGGAGCGGUGAAAUGCGUUGAUAUCGGAAGGAACGCCGGUGGCGAAAGCGACGUGCUGGACCUCUUCUGACGCUGAGGCGCGAAAGCUAGGGGAGCGAACGGG